UACGUAGGGGGCUAGCGUUGUCCGGAAUCAUUGGGCGUAAAGAGCGUGUAGGCGGCCCGGUAAGUCCGCUGUGAAAGUCGGGGGCUCAACCCUCGGAUGCCGGUGGAUACUGUCGGGCUCGAGUACGGAAGAGGCGAGUGGAAUUCCUGGUGUAGCGGUGAAAUGCGCAGAUAUCAGGAGGAACACCGGUGGCGAAGGCGGGUCUCUGGGCCGUUACUGACGCUGAGGAGCGAAAGCGUGGGGAGCGAACAGG
rnacentral:rRNA from 1 species